UGGGGAAUCUUCCGCAAUGGGCGAAAGCCUGACGGAGCAACGCCGCGUGAGUGAUGACGGCCUUCGGGUUGUAAAGCUCUGUUAUAUGGGACGAACGGGCAUGGGGCGAAUACCCCCAUGCAGUGACGGUACCGUAAGAGAAAGCCACGGCUAACUACGUGCCAGCAGCCGCGGUAAUACGUAGGGAGCAAGCGUUAUCCGGAUUUAUUGGGUGUAAAGGGUGCGUAGACGGGAAAAUAAGUUAGUUGUGAAAACCCUCAGCUUAACUGAGGAACUGCAACUAAAACUGUUUUUCUUGAGUGUUGGAGAGGAAAGUGGAAUUCCUAGUGUAGCGGUGAAAUGCGUAGAUAUUAGGAGGAACACCAGUGGCGAAGGCGACUUUCUGGACAACAACUGACGUUGAGGCACGAAAGUGUGGGGAGCAAACAGGAUUAGAUACCCUGGUAGUCCACACUGUAAACGAUGGAUACUAGGUGUAGGGAGUGUUAAACUUUCUGUGCCGCCGCAAACGCAAUAAGUAUCCCACCUGGGAGUACGACCGCAAGGUUG
rnacentral:rRNA from 1 species